GUGGGGAAUUUUGGACAAUGGGCGCAAGCCUGAUCCAGCAAUGCCGCGUGCAGGAAGAAGGCCUUCGGGUUGUAAACUGCUUUUGUACGGAACGAAAAGGCUCUGGCUAAUACCUGGAGCUCAUGACGGUACCGUAAGAAUAAGCACCGGCUAACUACGUGCCAGCAGCCGCGGUAAUACGUAGGGUGCGAGCGUUAAUCGGAAUUACUGGGCGUAAAGCGUGCGCAGGCGGUGCUGUAAGACAGGCGUGAAAUCCCCGGGCUCAACCUGGGAAUUGCGCUUGUGACUGCAGCGCUGGAGUGCGGCAGAGGGGGAUGGAAUUCCGCGUGUAGCAGUGAAAUGCGUAGAUAUGCGGAGGAACACCGGUGGCGAAGGCGGCCACCUGGACAGGUACUGACGCUGAGGCGCGAAAGCGUGGGGAGCAAACAGGAUUAGAUACCCUGGUAGUCC
rnacentral:rRNA from 1 species